GAACAAAAUGAUAAUUAUCGCUUGUUUUUUGGUUCAGGCUGUUUUUUAUAAUUCUGACCAUUAUCGUUAUCGGAGCAACGGCGUUCGAUUACGCUGGACGUUCGAAGGAAGAUGCUCAUCUUCAAUAUACGGUGAUCGACCCUGCACAUCGAAGCGACAAGGAAGUGCCCCCUUCUGAUAACAAAGCUAAGAAGGCAAUUAUUUGCUUCUCAUUGCUCGAGAACGGCCCCAAAGUGUUCGGAAAAGGAGGCUCCGGGGGUGGUUCGAUUGCCGUACUGCACGGACUACGCUUCGUCAGCAUUGUUUGGAUUGUUUGCAUGCACAACCGAAUAUAUUCUCGAGGAAUCUCCAUUUUUCGCAACCCGGAUGAGCUGACCAAAAGUAACUUCGUCACGGCCAUCAUCGACCGCGUGUCCUUAGCCGUGG